UUUCAUUAUGAUGAAUCUUUUAAAUUCUUGAUAGGAAGAGUAUGAAACGUAAUGAGUACUAUUAUCAAACUGAAAAUUGAA
rfam:Glossina morsitans morsitans, isolate Yale, WGS project CCAG01000000 data, contig: ctg10020168